UGGGGAAUUUUGGACAAUGGGGGCAACCCUGAUCCAGCCAUUCCGCGUGAGUGAAGAAGGCCUUCGGGUUGUAAAGCUCUUUCGCAAGGGAAGAAAACUUAUGAUCGAAUAAAUCAUGAGGUUGACGGUACCUUGAUAAGAAGCACCGGCUAACUACGUGCCAGCAGCCGCGGUAAUACGUAGGGUGCGAGCGUUAAUCGGAAUUACUGGGCGUAAAGCGUGCGCAGGCGGUUUUGUAAGUCGGAUGUGAAAUCCCCGGGCUCAACCUGGGAACUGCGUUCGAAACUGCAAGGCUAGAGUGUGUCAGAGGGGGGUAGAAUUCCACGUGUAGCAGUGAAAUGCGUAGAGAUGUGGAGGAAUACCAAUGGCGAAGGCAGCCCCCUGGGAUAACACUGACGCUCAUGCACGAAAGCGUGGGGAGCAAACA
rnacentral:rRNA from 1 species